GGGGGUGUAGCUCAGUGUUAGAGCGCUUGCCUAGUAUGCAUGAGGCACUGGGUUCAAAUCUCAGCAUCACAU
rfam:Ictidomys tridecemlineatus contig065423, whole genome shotgun sequence.